AGAGUUUGAUCAUGGCUCAGGACGAACGCUGGCGGCAGGCUUCAUACAUGCAAGUCGAGCGGAAAGGCCCCUUCGGGGGUACUCGAGCGGCGAACGGGUGAGUAACAGGUGGGUAAUCUGCCUUUCGGAGGGGGAUAACGGCUGGAAACGGCCGCUAAUACCCCGUACGGUUGCGAAGCUCUCGGGCUUUGCAAAGAAAGGGGCCUUUAAAGCCCCGCCGAAAGAUGAGCCCGCCCCCCAUUAGCUAGUUGGCGGGGUAAUGGCCCACCAAGGCUGUGAUGGGUAGCCGAGCUGAGAGGUUGAUCGGCCACACUGGAACUGAGACACGGUCCAGACACCUACGGGUGGCAGCAGUAGGGAAUAUUGCGCAAUGGGCGAAAGCCUGACGCAGCCAUGCCGCGUGGAUGAUGAAGGCCUUCGGGUCGUAAAGUCCUUUUCUGAGGGAAGAACUGCCGGGGGAGGAAAUGCCCUUGGCUUGACGGUACCUCAGGAAUAAGCAACGGCUAACUCCGUGCCAGCAGCCGCGGUAAUACGGAGGUUGCAAGCGUUGUUCGGAAUGACUGGGCGUAAAGGGAGCGCAGGCGGCCAAGUCAGUCUGAAGUGAAAGCCCGGGGCUUAACCCCGGAAUAGCUUUGGAUACUGCCUGGCUUGAGUGUGCGAUAGGAAAGCGGAAUUCCAGGUGUAGCGGUGAAAUGCGUAGAUAUCUGGAGGAACACCGGUGGCGAAAGCGGCUUUCUGGCGCAUAACUGACGCUGAGGCUCGAAAGCGUGGGGAGCGAACGGGAUUAGAUACCCCGGUAGUCCACGCCGUAAACGUUGUGCACUAGGUGUGGGAGGUAUCGACCCCUUCCGUGCCGCCGCUAACGCAUUAAGUAUUCCGCCUGGGGAGUACGGUCGCAGAUUAAAACUCAAAGGAAUUGACGG
rnacentral:rRNA from 1 species